AGUAGCGGCGAGCGAACAGGGAAGAGUCCAGCACCGAACCCCGCAGGCUGCCGCCUGUCGUGGCAUGUGGUGUUUGGGAGGGUCCACCACCCCGACGCCUCGCGCCGAGUCCAAGUCCAACUUGAAUGAGGCCACGGCCCGUAGAGGGUGCCAGGCCCGUAGCGGCCGGUGCGAGCGUCGGCGGGACCUCUCCUUCAAGUCGGGUUGCUUGAGAGUGCAGCUCCAAGUGGGUGGUAAACUCCAUCUGAGACUGAAUACGACCACGAGACCGAUAGCGAACAAGUACCGUGAGGGAAAGUUGAAAAGAACUUUGAAGAGAGAGUUCAAAAGUACGUGAAACCGUUCUGGGGUAAACGUGAGAAGUCCGAAAGGUCGAACGGGCGAGAUUCACGCCCAUCCGGCCACUGGCCCCCGCCCUCGGCAGAUGGGGCCGGCCGCCCGCGCGGAGCAAUCCGCGGCGGGGUCGUGUCCGGUUGCCUUUCCACUCGCCGCGGGGUGGGGCCGUUCCAGUGCGCGGUGGGCCGCACUUCUCCCCUAGUAGGACGUCGCGACCCGCUGGGUGCCGGCCUACGGCCCGGGUGCGCAGCCUGUCCUUCCGCGGGCCUCGGUUCGCGUCUGUUGGGCAGAGCCCCGGUGUCCCGGCUGGCUGCUCGGCGGUACAUCUGGAGGAGUCGAUUCGCCAAACAAGGUGUUUGGGCGCCCGGGCUCCCGGCAAGCGCGCGCGGUUCUUCCCGGAUGACGGACCUACCUGGCCCGGCCCCGGACCCGCGCCGCUGUUGGCUCGGGAUGCUCUCGGGCGGAAUAAUCGCUCCCGUCAGCGGCGCUUCAGCUUUGGACAAUUUCACGACCCGUCUUGAAACACGGACCAAGGAGUCUAACAUGUGCGCGAGCCAUUGGGCUGCACGAAGCCUAAAGGCGUAAUGAAAGUGAAGGUCUCGUCUUGCGCGGGCCCAGGGAGGAUGGGGCUUCCCCGCCCUUCACGGGGCGGCGGCCUCCGCACUCCCGGGGCGUCUCGUCCUCAUUGCGAGGUGAGGCGCACCUAGAGCGUACACGUU
rnacentral:rRNA from 1 species